rnacentral:rRNA from 1 species
UACGGGGGGGGCAAGCGUUGUUCGGAAUUACUGGGCGUAAAGGGCGCGUAGGCGGCCUGCUAAGUCACACGUGAAAUCCCUCGGCUCAACCGGGGAACUGCGUGUGAUACUGGCGGGCUUGAAUUCGGGAGAGGGAUGUGGAAUUCCAGGUGUAGCGGUGAAAUGCGUAGAUAUCGGGAGGAACACCUGUGGCGAAGGCGGCAUCCUGGACCGGCAUUGACGCUGAGGCGCGAAAGCCAGGGGAGCAAACGGG